GGGAGCACCAUAGAAAUGAAAAUGGUUUACGGCACGAAAGAAAUCACUAUAAACUUGCUAAAAUACUAUUCGUAAUGCUUUAUCUCUACUAAGUAAAGAAGCACUAAUUAUAGAUGCAUAU